AGAGAAGCAAUAGAGAAGCAACGAUUCUUUUUACAACCGUAAGGAAAAUAAAUAAAAGGAAAGGCUGUAAAUAAAAAUAUAUACUUAGAGCAAAUAUAUGCUCUACACUAGUUAUGCAAUAAAGAACAACUUGUUGCCUGCUAAUUUAGACGAGGAUCCAUCCCUGAUAUCCUCUCAUCCUCCAACAGAGCAUAUGGAUCGAUGUAAGGUGGUGGUGAAACCGGAGUUCUACUUCCAUCAUGAAUGAAAUCUGCUCCAAAGUACUAUCAUUUCAACAAGAAAAAUCAGUUUAUGGUAAGAAACCUUAUCAAAUCCAUAGAAGAAAGGAACCUUAAAAACUCAUUCCAAAACACUUUCUACGGCGUGCGAGAAGAACGUGGAAGAAUACUGAUAAGCAUAAAUGUGAAUAGGACUUGGGUUGGAUCAGAGUUGAGGGUCUUAACUAGGUGGUUGGUUGGAAGAGCUAAGAGGUCUCUUUACAGUCUCCAAAAUACAUUUGCCACUUUCUUAGUAUUCAAGGACUAGAAUGAAGAAAAGUACACUCCUUGAUCUUAUUAAAUACUUACAAGGUAAAGAGCAGAGAAGGCGCCGAGAGUUAAGACUAUCAAUGGCCAAAAGCCC